rnacentral:rRNA from 1 species
UACGAAGGGGGCUAGCGUUGUUCGGAAUUACUGGGCGUAAAGCGCACGUAGGCGGAUAUUUAAGUCAGGGGUGAAAUCCCAGAGCUCAACUCUGGAACUGCCUUUGAUACUGGGUACCUAGAGUAUGGAAGAGGUAAGUGGAAUUCCGAGUGUAGAGGUGAAAUUCGUAGAUAUUCGGAGGAACACCAGUGGCGAAGGCGGCUUACUGGUCCAUUUACUGACGCUGAGGUGCGAAAGCGUGGGGGAGCAAACAGG